CAUGCGGGCCGGGCCCCUCUGGCGACUGUCGAGGCAGUCGUGAUGUCGGACCGCAUCG
rfam:Sphingobium chungbukense strain DJ77 contig00020, whole genome shotgun sequence.